UACAGAGGAAGAUGCUGCUGACCUUGGGGGGCCAAGGCGGGAGUUUUUCCGUUUACUGGUGAAGGCCAUCUUUCAGGACAGUGGUGCUUUUGAAGCUACACCAAAUGGAUGCACACUGAAAUUUAACAUCCUACACUUGCAAAAUGGAGUAUAUCGAACCAUUGGCAGGAUGUUGUCCACGAUAAUAGUGCAAGGUGGAGAAGCACCUGCUUUUCUCUCUCCACAUGUAGUAGACUACAUUGUGUCAGGAGACAUUCUUCAAGUACACCUAACACCGGAUGAUAUAGGUGACCCUGAGUUAAGAGAGAAUCUGAAAAAGGUUGUAAAUGCAACAACUCAACAUGAUUUGGAGAAAGCAGUCAGCUGCUGUGACUCAUGGC